UCCUGAGCUCACUCUGGUCACGGGUAAGGUAAGAGGAGCUUGAGAGCGAGCCUCUAGCCUGAGAUCGACGGAGCUCCGACGCUGCUGCGUCUUGAUCGAUCUCGAGCAUCGGGUUCUCCUUGCUAAAGUGGGGAUGCUAGGGCUCGAUUGGAGGUUGGGAGGGGAGCUGUGAGGCGGUGGAACGACUGGGGAGGCCUAUUUAUAGGUUGGCGACGGGGCACCGAGUGGGGGAGCGCCAGUGGUUUUUUCCACAGUCGCACGAGAGUGAGAGAGGGCUCGGGGUCGAAACCAUGGUUUGCGGACGUGGUUUUGGACUUCCGCGGAUGCAACAGGAGGAGCGGGGGUAGUUUUCUAGGCGUGUUGCGGGGCCG
rnacentral:lncRNA from 1 species